rfam:Chloroflexi bacterium RBG_16_63_12 RBG_16_scaffold_54928, whole genome shotgun sequence.
UCCAUCGCGAGGUGGAAUCCGAAGGGCAUGAGGAGAAGUACCGGGCCGUAAUCGAUGGGGGCCACCCCGAAGAUGAACCGGUCGGCCAAAGGUGGGGCAAGGUCGAGCCUGCACUACGAAGGCGAAGGCGUUCUCAUUCACCCACCGCACCAAGGUGUUUGCGGACGGCACGGUACGGAAGAGCGAUGC